UGGGGAAUUUUGGACAAUGGGCGCAAGCCUGAUCCAGCAAUGCCGCGUGCAGGAUGAAGGCCUUCGGGUUGUAAACUGCUUUUGUACGGAACGAAACGGCUUUUUCUAAUAAAGGGAGCUAAUGACGGUACCGUAAGAAUAAGCACCGGCUAACUACGUGCCAGCAGCCGCGGUAAUACGUAGGGUGCGAGCGUUAAUCGGAAUUACUGGGCGUAAAGCGUGCGCAGGCGGUUUUGUAAGACGGAUGUGAAAUCCCCGGGCUCAACCUGGGACCUGCAUUUGUGACUGCAAGGCUAGAGUACGGUAGAGGGGGAUGGAAUUCCGCGUGUAGCAGUGAAAUGCGUAGAUAUGCGGAGGAACACCGAUGGCGAAGGCAAUCCCCUGGACCUGUACUGACGCUCAUGCACGAAAGCGUGGGGAGCAAACA
rnacentral:rRNA from 1 species